rnacentral:rRNA from 1 species
AGAUUGAACGCUGGCGGCAGGCCUAACACAUGCAAGUCGAGCGGUAGAGAGGUGCUUGCAUCUCUUGAGAGCGGCGGACGGGUGAGUAAUGCCUAGGAAUCUGCCUAGUGGUGGGGGAUAACGUUCGGAGACGGACGCUAAUACCGCAUACGUCCUACGGGAGAAAGCGGGGGACCUUCGGGCCUCGCGCCAUUAGAUGAGCCUAGGUCGGAUUAGCUAGUUGGUGAGGUAAUGGCUCACCAAGGCGACGAUCCGUAACUGGUCUGAGAGGAUGAUCAGUCACACUGGAACUGAGACACGGUCCAGACUCCUACGGGAGCAGCAGUGGGAAUAUUGGACAAUGGGCGAAAGCCUGAUCCAGCCAUGCCGCGUGUGUGAAGAAGGUCUUCGGAUUGUAAAGCACUUUAAGUUGGAGGAAGGUUGUAACCUAAUACGUUGCAACUUUGACGUUACGACAGAAUAAGCACCGGCUAACUUCGUGCCAGCAG